rnacentral:rRNA from 1 species
AGUGAACGCUGGCGGUAGGCCUAACACAUGCGAGUCGAACGGCAGCACAGUAAGAGCUUGCUCUUACGGGUGGCGAGUGGCGGACGGGUGAGGAAUACAUCGGAAUCUACUUUUUCGUGGGGGAUAACGUAGGGAAACUUACGCUAAUACCGCAUACGACCUACGGGUGAAAGCAGGGGAUCUUCGGACCUUGCGCGAUUGAAUGAGCCGAUGUCGGAUUAGCUAGUUGGCGGGGUAAAGGCCCACCAAGGCGACGAUCCGUAGCUGGUCUGAGAGGAUGAUCAGCCACACUGGAACUGAGACACGGUCCAGACUCCUACGGGAGGCAGCAGUGGGGAAUAUUGGACAAUGGGCGCAAGCCUGAUCCAGCCAUACCGCGUGGGUGAAGAAGGCCUUCGGGUUGUAAAGCCCUUUUGUUGGGAAAGAAAAGCAGCAGGUUAAUACCCCGCUGUUCUGACGGUACCCAAAGAAUAAGCACCGGCUAAUUUCGUG